rnacentral:rRNA from 1 species
AUUGAACGCUGGCGGCAUGCCUUACACAUGCAAGUCGAACGGCAGCAUAGGAGCUUGCUCCUGAUGGCGAGUGGCGAACGGGUGAGUAAUAUAUCGGAACGUGCCCUAGAGUGGGGGAUAACUAGUCGAAAGACUAGCUAAUACCGCAUACGAUCUACGGAUGAAAGUGGGGGAUCGCAAGACCUCAUGCUCCUGGAGCGGCCGAUAUCUGAUUAGCUAGUUGGUGGGGUAAAAGCCUACCAAGGCAACGAUCAGUAGCUGGUCUGAGAGGACGACCAGCCACACUGGGACUGAGACACGGCCCAGACUCCUACGGGAGGCAGCAGUGGGGAAUUUUGGACAAUGGGGGCAACCCUGAUCCAGCAAUGCCGCGUGAGUGAAGAAGGCCUUCGGGUUGUAAAGCUCUUUUGUCAGGGAAGAAACGGUGGUAGCUAAUAUCUACUACUAAUGACGGUACCUGAAGAAUAAGCACCGGCUAACUACGUGCCAGCAGCCGCAGUAAUAC